GAAGACCAGAGUGUAUGUUUCAAGGUAUGUGUGAAGAUAUUGGAAUUUAUGAGAAAUUUUUGGGGUGAAAAAGUUUUCAAGAACCGAGUCAGAAGGUCAAAUAUUGUACGUUUCAUAAGAAGAGUUGAGUUCCAAGGGAUAAAAUAAGAGGAGCUUUGGGUAAGCAUGAGUGUAUCAAGGUUUGAGGAAUCAGUUUGGUUUAGUAUAUCAGUAAAGUUAGAGGUUAGGAGAAAGGAAAGUGUUAGUAAGCAACAGAGCAACAUUAGUUGAAGUUGGCAACAUGGUUCGGGGUAUUGGCAGGGAUUAGGAUUUAAACGAGAAAGUGGUAGGUGGCUUUAAAGCUUAAGUUAAGAAAGGAAUAAGAAUUCUAAAGUGGAAUAAAAGGAAUCAAUGUUUAGAAAGGAAUUAGGAGAAUAAGAGUUUGAGAAAUAGGUGUGUAAGACAUAGAGCAUAUUAAAGAGAGCUUAGUAGAAAGUAGAAUUUCGAAGUUAAGAACACAAGGUCUUUGAAGAAGAAUGAGGUAUCGAAAGGGUUGAAGUUAAGUAAUAUAAUUGGAAGGAGUGGUCAAGCUUUCUCAUCAAGUGGAUGAUUCAUAAUCAAGCUUAGGUUGAUGUUUCAAGAUUAGUAAUUCGCAUAGAAGGAAUGUUUGAUCUCUGUUUGAGGUUGAAGGCUUCAAGCACCGAAGGAAGAAGCACAUCAGGAAGUUAGUUAAAAAGAAAAGGUAAGACAAUAAGAUCGAAAGCAUGAGGAAUCAGGAAUAAUGAAAAAAAAAGGUUUUUGAAGUGCAUGAAAAAGAGUGAUUGCAGUAUAAUCAGCUAAAGCGGGUAUUGAGAAUGAUCACAGAGAUUGGUAAAGUCAGUUUUCGUCAGAUGUGGUUUGUGGUGAUGUUUAGUGGUCGGCUGGGUUUGAUCAAGGUAGAAGAGAAUGUUGAAUGAUGAGUUACAAGAGGCAAUAAGUGGGUAAGUUCAGAUAAGGCCAGAGGAUUGGUGUUGCUGGUUAAGGGUAUCUUGAGGUUCAGAGGAUCAAAUAUAGAGUUAGUAUUUCUACAGAUUCUGAGUUAAAGCGGGCAAUUCUUGAAGAAGAAGGUUUUAAGUUAAUUUGGUCGGACGAGUGCAUGAAGAAUUCUAAGUGAUGUGAUGUUUGUGGAGUUAAUCUAAGGGCUCGGGUUUGAAGCUUAUAUCGAGUGGUUUCUUGGCAGGGAAGGGAAGUGGAAGGUGGUGCAUCAAGUACAGUUGAGCGAAAGAUAGAAGCAAGUGUUAUGGGAAUUCAAGAUGUUUGUUAAGUACGAGUGAAGAAGAGAUGAUGUUAUUCUUUCGUAAGUUUGAGGUGUGAUUCAAGGGAGGAUUGUUGUUUUAAAAUAGUUCUCUAGCGCUUUAUGGUCUUCAAGAGAAGCCUCGUGUUUCAAGAGGAAAGGUAAGUGGUUAUACAUUAAUUGUAGAUGAAGUUAGAUAGUGAAGAAAAAGGGGACGUGAGAAUCAAAAGGGGUUAGCAUGGAGAUGUGGAGGAGAGAAGAUAGAUCUUUAUGGUGUAAGGGUUUUGGUUGAUGUUUUGCAACACACAUUAAAUUUUUCAUACCUUGGAGAAGUGAAGUUCAUUUUGUUGUGGUGUCUAAAGCAGAAUUGGUGUUAGUAAUAUCUUAUGGGGGGUUCCUGUUGAAGUUGUGUAAUGCAAGAGGAAGAUAGAAGUUGAGUUAGAGCAACAGUGGUUGGACUCUGUGUGAUAAUAGGGAGAACCACAAGGUUGAAGAAUCUCAUAAGAGAAUUAGAGGACAGGUUGAACAGUUCGGUAUAACUAUUAACAAUUAGGAGUGAUUUCGAGCAUGGUCGUUUUGUGGAAUAGAAAACAAUGUUGAGGAAAUGGAAUGACAAGGUUAUCAUGGAAGAAAAGAGUUACCAAGGCUUUGCAAAUUCAUGGAAGUUUUGAAGAAGGUUCUUCAAGGGUGAUCAUCUUCAGGUUGCAAAUUGUCAUGAAGGAAGUGUUCUUUCAGUAAACUAAUGAACAAGGGAGUUUAAGGAUCAGAGUAGCGCAACGGAUGUUAGUGGGCUUGUUCUUAUCAGUACCAAGUGUAUGUGAAGCGUUUUCAAGGUCAGGUGUGGGCGGUUAUGUGAGAUGAGCUUCUUUAAAACAAUCGAGACGUCAUUAUCUAAGGCAUCAGUUGGGAGUGUUUGGUGAUCUUCAAGAGUCAGAAGUGAGUUUAGGUAUGGUGGAGAUAAGUAUGAAGCAAAGAAGACAAGUGAGACUUCAGUUUCAAGAUGCAAUGUCAACCUGGAAGUGGGAGAAUAAAUGGACGUUGAGCACGGGAAGAGGUUCAAUGGAUGAAGGAAAUGAACUGGGAUAAGUUUCAAGUUGUAAGGUCAAUUUUGAGAUGAGCAAGCGUUAGUUGUGCGUGGAAACUGAAAGAAGAUUCAAGUUGUUAGCUUAGUAUGAAUUGAUUAAGAGUCGGUUGAAGAGUUUGAAGACCGGAGUCUGAAGUGAAGAGGUAAAGAGAUUUCACUAGUAUAGUUGAAAUACUAUAACUAGUGGGUUUCUCAAAAUGGUUGAGACAACGUAGUUUGGACAUUCCUAGCUUGAAAGGUAUCAUAAGUUGGCAUGGUACGGAUUAGGUUAGUGAUCUCAAGUUGAGGAAACGACAUGACUAAGUAUGAUUAGAAGCUAGUAGAUUAAAAAGUGCAUAUGGUUCAGGUUAGUGAGAUAACGAAGUGAAGCUAGAUUGCUCAAAUUGGUUUCGACGUUGCAAAGGAGAAGAAUUUUACUUUGGUAAUGAGAUGAUAUAGUAGGAAACUAUGUUACUCGGUAGUGAAGAUCAGAAAAGCAAUGUGAAGCUCUCAGAAUGGAUGUGGAUAAAGGUGAUCCAAAUAUAGCAGUUGGUGGGUAACUCGGAAAUUGUGGUGAUCAAGUCAGAGGUAUGGUGGUUCUUGAAACGAACAAGAGGAGGUAAAUGAGUAUCGGUCAAGGGUUAAUUUAAAGUCAAGAUUAGUGGAAGUCUUAGAAGAGAUUUACAAGAAGUGGCGGAAGGUGGAUGAGUGUUUUUCUGUACGGCAGACACAAUGGGGUUGGUUGUGCGAAAGAAAGUUUCUUACUAGUUGAAGUUUAGGAGUUCAUAUUUGUCUUGAGAGUAAUGGCUAAACCAAUCUACACUAUUGAACACUAGAGCAUUUAAACACAAAGUCAAGGUUUUUCAUGUUAGGAAGGUCGUUGGGGAGUAGGCUGAAAAUUUUUAUUGUUGGGGAGAAUAUAAGGACCUGAAAAUAAGCCAAGGGUUGAUGGGCCUUAUAUUUAGGCAGUCUAGCCCAUAAAGAUUAAGGGCACAUGACUUAGAAGGGGCUUCUCUAAAAAUUAGAUUCUUCAUUUAGCCAUUUUUCCUUCUCUCUCUAGAAACCCUUUCACAUAAUUGCUCUUGCCUUCUCUCUAGAAUCCCAGCUCAUUGAACCGUUUAAUUUUUGGUUUGAAGGGGCUUAAGCGUGCACGACGUCAAGAGCUUCACUUUGAACCGGUCAGUUUCUCAAUAUCAUUUCGAUAAGUGGUCUUUUUAUUUCCCUCCACCAUUUUGAUACCUAGGGUUUGGGGUUCUACUGAUUUCAUGGAGUUAGAGCAAUCCUCAUU
rnacentral:lncRNA from 1 species